rnacentral:lncRNA from 1 species
AUAAAUAAAUAAAAUUCAGAAAGUAAAUGUAUGUAUUUUUUAUGUCUUUGUGUGAUGGUAAUUGUGCUUAUCUCCCCUUAGCAAAUUGUUAUUAUUUUUUUCUGCCCAUACUUGUUCACAUCAUCCUUUUACAUGUUUUUCAAUGAAUUAAAGAAACAAAAUAGCAUAAAUAAAUAAAUACAUAAAUGUCAUAAGCUGCACAGAGUGCGACAUUUAUUUUUAUGUUAUUUUGCUUCUUUAAUAAAAGAAGUUUGGGAAUUAUUCCUUACAUAAUGGUGUAGCUGCAUGGAUGAAGAAACAGAUAAAAUGAAAAUAUAUUUUCUUGGGAACAGCUGAACGGAAUAAUUUAGAGCAGCGUGAGCAGAAGCGCUUGUGGGCAUCGGACGUGACGUCGUCACAUGAUCAGCCAAUCCCGCGCCGCCCUCGUGUUUACUGUCUGAGUUCGGCGCAUGCGCUCUAGCAUGUAAAUAACAGCCGCUGCGGUGGUUUGUAUGGUAUCGCACAGGCUCGUCAAAUACACGAACAACCGGCUUGUAUUUACAGAGGACGUUAUUAUAUCUUCUACGUUCAUGAAAAGGUGUGGUGAUGUGUUGAGUGUAGCAUGACACAGCAGCUGUUGAUCAGAGCCACAGCUGAUCCAGGAGCGAAUGCUGCUCGAUAACACACUCAAACAUUCAACAUCAGUACUGUCUGCUCCAGCGAUGCUAACAGAGAAGAGGAAGCGUCAGCGCGCUGAAGGGGAUGGCGAAAGCGCUCAGAUGCCUCAGGCCAAGCGACAGAGUUCAGCUCUCCAGAGCUCAGAGACGGCUAGAGAAUCAUGGGAGUCUGAGUCUUCCAGCAGCGAGGGCAGUUGGGUCAGCAGUCCAGAUCACGCCGCAGGGAGCAGCAGCAGUAGUCACUGUGGAGUGGACGUUAUUGGGCCCCACAGCUGCCACGACCCCUGCAGUCCCCACAGUGCCUCCAAGCAGCCGGACCCCGUGGACCCGCUGUCCUACCAGCACAUCAACCGUGUCCUGAAGGAAGCCCAUUUCCACAGCUUACAGAGCCGGGCUCCGUCCAAGCAUAGGUGA